rnacentral:rRNA from 1 species
UACAGAGACGGCAAGCGUUGUUCGGAUUCAUUGGGCGUAAAGGGUGCGUAGGCGGUCGGCUAAGUCGGGUGUGAAAUCUCACAGCCUAACUGUGAUAGGUCAUUCGAAACUGGCUGGCUCGAGGACUGGAGAGGAGACUGGAAUGGUCGGUGUAGCGGUGAAAUGCGUAGAGAUCGACCAGAACACCGGUGGCGAAGGCGGGUCUCUGGACAGUUCCUGACGCUGAGGCACGAAAGCCAGGGGAGCAAACGGG